GCAAGCAGAGGUCCAGAGUUAGUUCCCCAGAACCCACGUUAAGAAGACAAGCCGUGUGUGUGAUGGUGUGUGUUGUAAAGCCAGCACGGGGAUGACAAAGUUGGCUGGUCAGGGGGAUCUGCAGGGAGAGGCUAUUGUUCCCCAACUGGACAAUACAAGUUCACUUUCCAGGACCUACGUGAUAGAAGGAGGUGACUGAUGUGUGCAAGCUUCCUCUAACUCCUUCUGUCUCUAAGUACAGUGUGCAGUUUGCAUGUGCUUCUCUUGAAUUCUCUUCAAGCAAGGAACUGUGGCACCACAGCCUACUGAGUGAGAUCACAAAAGCAGAGAGAGAGAGAGAGACUUUCUGUUGAUCUUAACAGCAGUGGCCUGUCAAGCCAUCCCAAUGAGAUGAAUUUGAACUCUGAUGCUGUCAGUCACCCAUUGCUAACUCACUCCAACCUGGCAAGCUCUCCAAACGUAACCGUCCUCUUCCAGCAAGGGGCUCAUCCAGUAAGUGGGGAUGUCUCACAGCCAAAGGCACAGCGCUCUGGCAAGACCCUCGAAGUUUCCACUUCUGCUGUCGGUCUAAUCCAUGUCACCAGAUUUCUUUGGCUUUAAUGUCAUGGCUUUCAGUAUCACUGACCCAGAGCUUGCUAAUAUCUAAGAUCAGCGUAUCAGAUGUAUACAUCUCAUCAUCCAGAAAUGCUUAAACCAAUGAGAGGGGUGUGUGACCUGAAGAUGGCUGGUACGAAAGCAGAAGUGGGAACGGUCUGAGGGAUGAGAGGAAAUGGGCAGAGGAGAAACGGGAGGGUUGUGACUCAUGUAUAUGCAAAUGCCAGCAUGAAACCCAUUGUGUGUAUGCUGACUAAAAGAUCAACUUAUAGCAUGUUUUAAUAUGAAAAAUAAAAGGAAUGGGGGUUGAAAGAC
rnacentral:lncRNA from 1 species